rnacentral:rRNA from 1 species
GACGAACGCUGGCGGCGUGCUUAACACAUGCAAGUCGAACGGUGAAGCGCCUUCCUUUUUGGUGGGUGUGGAUGAGUGGCGAACGGGUGAGUAACACGUGAGUAACCUGCCCCCUUCUUCUGGAUAACCGCAUGAAAGUGUGGCUAAUACGGGAUAUUCUGGGUCUGUCGCAUGAUGGGUCUGGGAAAGAUAUUGUUUCGGUGGGGGAUGGGCUCGCGGCCUAUCAGCUUGUUGGUGGGGUGAUGGCCUACCAAGGCGGUGACGGGUAGCCGGCCUGAGAGGGUGGCCGGGCCCACUGGGGAUGAGACCCGGGCCAGACUGCUACGGGAGGCAGCAGGGGGGAAUAUUGGACAAUGGGCGGAAGGAUGAUGCAGCGACGCCGCGGGAGGGAUGGAGGCCUUCGGGUUGUGAACCUCUUUCGCCAGUGAAGCAGGCCUGCCUCGUUUGUGGGUGGGUUGACGGUAGCUGGAUAAGAAGCGCCGGCUAACUACGUG